GGUUAUGUCUCAGUGGUAGAGCACUCACCUAACAUGCAUGAGGAACUGGGUUCAAUCCCCAGCACCA
rnacentral:tRNA from 1 species